UACGGAGGGUGCAAGCGUUAAUCGGAAUUACUGGGCGUAAAGCGUGCGCAGGCGGUUUGUUAAGUCUGUUGUGAAAUCCCCGAGCUCAACUUGGGAAUUGCAAUGGAUACUGGCAGGCUGGAGUAUGGUAGAGGAAGGUGGAAUUCCCGGUGUAGCAGUGAAAUGCGUAGAGAUCGGGAGGAACACCAGUGGCGAAGGCGGCCUUCUGGACCAGCACUGACACUCAAGCACGAAAGCGUGGGGAGCAAACAGG
rnacentral:rRNA from 1 species